UGAAACACAGCCAUCUGUUAAAAUUUUCAUUUCUCUGAAUUUUGCAAUGCAGUUCUGUAAGUAAUGUGUAGAAAAAUGCAUAUGUACAAAUGCAUAUAUUAAUGGAAAGAGCAUAGAAAAGUACAUUAUAUUAGGAAAAUUGGCCAGAGCCAAGUCUUAAUCACAUGUCUACAGCAAGAGGGUCCCUACUUUUACAUGGGUGGCAUGAAAAGAGAAGGUGGCAGAGAGAGAGAGAGAGAAGUAGGUGCCCUACGCAGCUUUACCUCUGCCUCUACCUGUCUCUGGUAUGCGGCCUCUAACAGAUCACCCCUGAGGAAAUGUGGCCCUCAACAGAAAAUCUUUACCCUGGAGAGAAAUAAAUAAGGCAUAUUUUUCAUAUCAGAUACUUUAGGAACAAAUGUGGGGCCGUUUUUCUCUCUUCAAUGCAAAGAAUGGGUCUGUUGGUUAGCAGCCCACCCCCCUCUUUUCCAUAUAAUGUCUUCCCAGGAAAUGGGCUCUAUUUCAGCUUCAUUGAAGAACUUUUAAAAGCUGGCCGAGGCCUUUUUCAUUCACCGUGACCGCGCUUGACACCUCUCAGACCAGCCUCUCCUCCUCUUCUGCCAACCACAUCCAUUAAACUACUAUUUCAGGUAUGUUUAUGCGGAUCAAUGUACACUGGUUCCUUUGUUUGAAAAACAAAAAGCACAGUUUAAAAAGCCGAAAAAUUGCUCCAGAACGCGAGAUGGCUAUAACAUUGCAGAUUCCAGCCAAUCGGACCUAUGCACAACCAGCUUUGGCUGAGGAAUUUGAAAACAUUCCUGUUUCCCCAGACAUUUGAUGGCUGAAGCAGACUACUUCUGGCAACUCAAAGAUCACUGGUAAAAGAAUGUUUC